CAAAUGCUUCUUUCUCCUUUGGAUUUAGAACUACUUUUUAAAUUUCUGUGAAGCAACACUGUCUGUUCUUCCAUACUACUAUCAAGAUCUGUCUUUCUAGCUUUUCUGAAGAUGAAACCUCCUUUCUCUGCAUCUCCAAGUUAGCAAAAAGAAAGUUUGGUUCUCCAGCAUUUGAAUGUGUUGGCCUCAAUAUACAUUGAGUCUUUUUCUUGAUCAUUGAGACCUUUAGGACUUUGUUUGUGGAAAGUGAUAGAGGACUUGUUCACAGUUUUUUGACAGCUCUUCUUGAGCUUUGAAGGUUCCUUUAAAGGAAAUAUGUAUUAACUGCUACAUUAUUUGAAUUUACCCUGAGAACAGCUGACAGGAGUUGAAAGAGUUCUCUUACAUUAUUGUAUUUCAGUAGUAAGUUCUUUCUGAUGCCCUCCUGAACAUCAACUUAAGCGAACUGCCUUUUUUGGUAAAUGCAGAAGCCAGGUAAGCUUGGCUUAUUAGUUUUCAGUAAGAUAGUCUGUGUUUGGUUUUGUAUUUUAAAAUGUGUAAGAGCAGUGGACCUAACA
rnacentral:lncRNA from 1 species